ACCAAUUUUCAUGUUGGUAAAUUUUGGAUAUCAAAUUGCAUUACUAAACAGGCACCUACAUCAGUAGCAUUAAAGCAAAAUAAGGAUUAGGAGAAUUACAAUGAGGUCACCGGCCGUCGUUGCCUUGUGAACGCUGACAAUGGAGGCUCCGUUCAGGGUCUUGGGGAUGGACGGCAGCUCGGAAGGAUGGCAAUCAACAAGGUCAAUCAUGGGGAAAUCCAGCUCAAUGAACAGUUUCCCCUCGCCUGACACGCCCGUGCUCUCCGGCGCAGGAACCCUUUUGGCGGUAAGAAUCCCCGACUUGGUCGAGAACUCGAUGAGCGUCUCGUGCUCCGCGAGGACGGAUGUGAAGAGGAAGUGGGCGGAGGCCAGCGUCGCGUGGCCGCAGAGCUCCACCUGGAACCGCGUCAAGAGAAGACUCGAGACUGGAUUACGCGCAACUGUGUGACGAUGAGUCGGGUGGGUACCUACCUCAGCGGCGGGGGUGAACCAUCGGAGCUGGAACCGCGGGGCGGCGCCAGACGCGGAGGAGUCCCGGAGGAGGAAGGCGGUCUCGGAGAGGUUGAACUCGGCGGCGACGGACUGCAUCCACCGCUCGUCAGCGGCCUUGGCGGCGUCCUGGAGGAGGCACACCGCGGCGGGGUUGCCCCUGAACGGCUCCGCCGUGAAGGCGUCCAGCUGCGGACGACCACGGCGACGAUGUCAGGUAUCCUCCUGCGAGCUGAUAAGAAAAGGGAGCAUCGCUCCCGUCCAAGAGAGUACAGAGCAGUACUACUGACCACUGCGUACUGGGUGCCAUUCUUGCCCAUUCCUGCGACGAAGAAACAGCUCCGGGCUCCUGUGCUAUGGCCGCCGGCGGCGGCUGCUGCUCCUUUUUACUACGAACAGGGCUGCUUUUGCUUUUUUUUUUAUGCACGAUUAACAUGAGUGCGUUGUCCUGACUGCUGAAUGUUGCAAUCAGCAAUGACCACAUCGAGCUUGUCGCCUCUCUCGAAAUCGAAAAAUCGAAAAUACAUGUUUGCUUGGGACUACCAGAAUUCUCACAGCAAUUGAACCGCAUCAUGCGAAACCACUAAUUCGAGACCAUAGAAAUGUUGUCCCCCACCCCGAUGUGGCGAAGUUCCACUCAGUGUUCUUUUUUCAAGCACUGUUCACCACGGAAUAGUACUCCCUCCAUUCCAAAUUAUAAUACACUUAUACAUCGCUUUAAUUAUAUAUUAGACAUAGUCGCUUUAAUUAUAUAUUAGACAUAGUGUAGUAUAGCCGCCCAUUAUAGACAUGGCUUGUCGGUCUUUGAUAUUGGUACACUGCUGCUGCUCCGUUCUAAAUUAUAAGGAAUUUUAGUUUUUCUCUAUAUAGUUUUUAUUGUGCACCUAGAUAGUGUAAGUCUAGAUUUAUAGUAAAAUAUAUGUACCUAUAAAGGUAACAUAACUUAUAAUUUGGAACAGGGGAAUACAUGUUAGUGUUGUCGUGCUGGCUGCUAAGUUUGCAAUCAGCAGUGACGGCAUAGUCAUGAAAAUGAAAUGAAAUGAAAUGAAAUAGGGGUCUGACCAGCAGCCUGCAUGUUUGUUUGGGACUUGGGACUUGGGACUACAAGAUUUCUCAUUAAAAAAACGAAUAGAAUUGUGAGAGAUCCAAAUCUGACAAGUCUUGGCACCCUUGGGCAUUAGAAGCAAAUGUUGACAAUUAACUAGUAUACUCUACAGACAGUUUGUUCAGAUCUAUGUUCUUCAUCCAGCCCAUAAAUCUAGUUCAUUGCUUCAAUUCAAGCCAAUGCAAACAGAAUAUACUGCACACAUUGAACAUCCACUGAUUUAUUCAAAAGAAACACCCACAUACACUCUGCUUAGUCUGGAAUUAUACCACAGAGGUUUGAUUUAAUCCUAGCUGCAGAAGAAUUAUGCCUCGCAACUAAAGUUAAGACAGCAAACGUCCAUUGAGCAGGGCUAUGCUAGGAGGGUACCAGUCAUCACACUGACAGCUUCUCCCUGAAUUCGCACUCUCCUGCGUGCAGCUUCUAACUCCAGGUAUAGUGUUCCACUCCGAGAGGAUGCCUAGUGAUAUAUGGAUGAAUUCAAAACCCAAUCGAUGAUUGAUCAAGGAAACACUAAAGUGGUGCAAGAACGUACUUGAAAUGCUGUCAGUUUGUGUUUCCCCAGCUUCCCACCCCAAUAAGGUGCUAAAACACAAUGCGCGCUGCCACAAACAGGAUCCUGUCAAAACAUAGUGAUUAGAGGGUUAGGCUGUAGGAAAUUUGUAAAGGUAACACAAGCAUGAAAACCAAAACAGAAUUCCUGAAUGUUCAGGCCCAGGAGACCAGUACAUUGUACCCAACACAAACAUUUGUAGCUUGUUACUAAAAAAAUAGUGGAUUUUUCUGACAAGUACAGCAAUGAGAUAUUCCAAUUCCAUGAUAAUAUGUUCUCACUGAGAUAAGGAUUAGUAUGUAAAAAAAAGAACAGUGAAACCACACCUGUAAGGUGCUAAAUGCCUUAUGGAAAGGAAUUAAUGUGAUUGUAUCAUGUAAAGAUUAGCUAUUCGCCUAUUCUAAUAAAUUAUUCUCCAUGCACGGAAUAUGUAUGGCUUCUCAUAUCAGGUUAAGUGUCAAAUUUCUAACUGAGAAAAGAAAGUCACAAUGCAAGAAUAUAGACAUGUCGGGUUUAUUACGUUCUUAGUCAAAACUCAAAAGAUAACUUUCCACUUUGCAGCAUCCAUGGUAGAGCAUUCAUGACAGCAAUCACAAAGUAUCCUAUAAAUACUUGAUACUAAAAUGGAUAAUACUGCAUUUUUGUGUUUUAUGUUAAGCAAUCUUAGCUCCCCCAAUGUAUAUAUUUUUGGACAUAAAGUAUGUCAUCACCUCAUCUAUCCCAAAUUUUGGGCAGAAAAAACGUGUGAAGAAGUCAUAACCAGAUCCAGCUGCCGCUGGCCCUGUAACAAUAAUUCCGCUGCCAGAACACAUUUUAAUUUCAUGAAUAUUAGGAGUGAUAUCAGCAACCUCUUUUCCUGAUGAAAGCUCCACCUGAAAGCCAAAUCAGAUUUUCUUUUCAUGAGUUACCUGAACAAACUGAACUCCGUCAUUACCACUCUUGUUUACUAUCUUUGUUUCAUUGCCUCUACUUAAACUUUAUGCAGCCUACAAAAUGUUUUAGUGCUGUGUACAUAGGAUUAUGAUGUUUUUAAAAUUUUGUUUGGAAUAUCUUAUAUCUCCAUCGUGGUCUAGGAAAAUGAUCAUGGUGGUAGUAGUCACAGACAUACAGUAAAUUGGUUCUUCUAUCCAUUUUCAUGUUGGUAAAUUUCGGAUUUAAUGCUUGGGCAUCAAGUGCAUUGCUGUUUACUAGGCAGGCACCUACAUCAGUAGCAUCACAAAAUCUAGACAUUUCGAGCAGGAAAGCGAAAUAAGGAUUAGGAGAAUUACAACGAUGAGGUCACCAGUUGACUUGUGAACACUGAUAAUGGAGGCUCCGUUCAGGGUCUCGGGGAUGGACGGCAGCUCGGAAGGAUGGCAAUCAACAAGGUCAAUCACGGGGAAAUCCAGCUCAAUGAACAGUUUC
rnacentral:lncRNA from 1 species